rnacentral:rRNA from 1 species
UUGGGAGCUCUCCCAUAUGGUCGACCUGCAGGCGGCCGCGAAUUCACUAGUGAUUCGUAUUACCGCGGCUGCUGGCACGGAGUUAGCCGGAGCUUAUUCUCCCGGUACUGUCAUUAUCAUCCCGGGUAAAAGAGCUUUACAACCCUAAGGCCUUCAUCACUCACGCGGCAUUGCUGGAUCAGGCUUUCGCCCAUUGUCCAAUAUUCCCCACUGCUGCCUCCCGUAGGAGUCUGGGCCGUGUCUCAGUCCCAGUGUGGCUGAUCAUCCUCUCAGACCAGCUAAGGAUCGUCGCCUUGGUGCGCCUUUACCACACCAACUAGCUAAUCCUACGCGGGCUCAUCCCUCGGCGAUAAAUCUUUGGACUUACGUCGUCAUCCGGUAUUAGCAGUCAUUUCUAACUGUUAUUCCGAACCAAGGGGCAGAUUCCCACGCGUUACGCACCCGUGCGCCACUAAGGCCGAAGCCUUCGUUCGACUUGCAUGUGUUAGGCAUGCCGCCAGCGUUCGUUCUGAGCCAUGAUCAAACUCUAAUCGAAUUCCCGCGGCCGCCAUGGCGGCCGGGAGCAUG